rfam:Ricinus communis cultivar Hale ctg_1100012328436, whole genome shotgun sequence.
AGUCCAUGGUGUGUGUAGCAUCACAAUAGGUCCUUGUAGCUCUCCCAAGUGUCGUACAUUGACUCAUUGUCAAACUGCAAAAAAGAAGAUAUGUCAUUUCUAAGUUU